rnacentral:rRNA from 1 species
GACGAACGCUGGCGGCGUGCCUAAUACAUGCAAGUGGGACGCAAGGACACACACUGUGCUUGCACACCGUGUUUUCUUGAGUCGCGAACGGGUGAGUAACGCGUAGGUAACCUGCCUAUUAGCGGGGGAUAACUAUUGGAAACGAUAGCUAAUACCGCAUAAUAUUAAUUAUUGCAUGAUAAUUGAUUGAAAGAUGCAAGCGCAUCACUAGUAGAUGGACCUGCGUUGUAUUAGCUAGUUGGUAAGGUAAGAGCUUACCAAGGCGACGAUACAUAGCCGACCGGAGAGGGUGAUCGGCCACACUGGGACUGGGACACGGCCCAGACGCCUACGGGAGGCAGCAGUAGGGAAUCUUCGGCAAUGGACGAAAGUCUGACCGAGCAACGCCGCGGGAGUGAAGAAGGUUUUCGGAUCGUAAAGCUCUGUUGUAAGUCAAGAACGUGUGUGAGAGUGGAAAGUUCACACAGUGACGGUAGCUGACCAGAAAGGGACGGCUAACUACGUG